rnacentral:rRNA from 1 species
UGAGUGAUGAAGGCCUUAGGGUUGUAAAGCUCUUUUGUCCGGGACGAUAAUGACGGUACCGGGAGAAUAAGCCCCGGCUAACUUCGUGCCAGCAGCCGCGGUAAUACGAAGGGGGCUAGCGUUGCUCGGAAUCACUGGGCGUAAAGGGCGCGUAGGCGGCCGAUUAAGUCGGGGGUGAAAGCCCUGGGCUCAACCUGGGAACUGCAGUGGAUACUGGGCGACUAGAGUGUGGUAGAGGGUAGCGGAAUUCCUGGUGUAGCAGUGAAAUGCGUAGAGAUCAGGAGGAACAUCCAUGGCGAAGGCAGCUACCUGGACCAACACUGACACUGAGGCACGAAAGCGUGGGGAGCAAACAGGAUUAGAUACCCUGGUAGUCCACGCCCUAAACGA